CGAGCGGUAGAGAUUCUUCGGAAUCUUGAGAGCGGCGUACGGGUGCGGAACACGUGUGCAACCUGCCUUUAUCUGGGGGAUAGCCUUUCGAAAGGAAGAUUAAUACCCCAUAAUAUAUUUAUCGGCAUCGAUGAAUAUUGAAAACUCCGGUGGAUAGAGAUGGGCACGCGCAAGAUUAGAUAGUUGGUGAGGUAACGGCUCACCAAGUCUGCGAUCUUUAGGGGGCCUGAGAGGGUGAUCCCCCACACUGGUACUGAGACACGGACCAGACUCCUACGGGAGGCAGCAGUGAGGAAUAUUGGACAAUGGGUGAGAGCCUGAUCCAGCCAUCCCGCGUGAAGGACGACGGCCCUAUGGGUUGUAAACUUCUUUUGUAUAGGGAUAAACCUACUCUCGUGAGAGUAGCUGAAGGUACUAUACGAAUAAGCACCGGCUAACUCCGUGCCAGCAGCCGCGGUAAUACGGAGGGUGCAAGCGUUAUCCGGAUUUAUUGGGUUUAAAGGGUCCGUAGGCGGAUCUGUAAGUCAGUGGUGAAAUCUCACAGCUUAACUGUGAAACUGCCAUUGAUACUGCAGGUCUUGAGUGUUGUUGAAGUAACUGGAAUAAGUAUUGUAGCGGUGAAAUGCAUAGAUAUUACUUACAACACCAAUUGCGAAGGCAGGUUACUAAGCAACAACUGACGCUGAUGGACGAAAGCGUGGGGAGCGAACAGGAUUAGAUACCCUGGUAGUCCACGCCGUAAACGAUGCUAACUCGUUUUUGGGUCUCCGAUUCAGAGACUAAGCGAAAGUGAUAAGUUAGCCACCUGGGGAGUACGUUCGCAAGAAUGAAACUCAAAGGAAUUGACGGGGGCCCGCACAAGCGGUGGAUUAUGUGGUUUAAUUCGAUGAUACGCGAGGAACCUUACCAAUGCUUAAAUGGGAAAUGACACGUUUAGAAAUAUACUUUUCUUCGUACAUUUUUCAAGGUGCUGCAUGGUUGUCGUCAGCUCGUGCCGUGACCGUUAUGUUAAGUCCUGCAACCAGCGCAACCCCUGUCACUAGUUGCCAUCAUUAAGUUGGGGACUCUAGUGAGACUGCCUACGCAAGUAGAGAGGAAGGUGGGGAUGACGUCAAAUCAUCACGGCCCUUACGCCUUGGGCCACACACGUAAUACAAUGGCCGGUACAGAGGGCAGCUACACAGCGAUGUGAUGCAAAUCUCGAAAGCCGGUCUCAGUUCGGAUUGGAGUCUGCAACUCGACUCUAUGAAGCUGGAAUCGCUAGUAAUCGCGCAUCAGCCAUGGCGCGGUGAAUACGUUCCCGGGCCUUGUACACACCGCCCGUCAAGCCAUGGAAGUCUGGGGUACCAGAAGUCGGUGACC
rnacentral:rRNA from 1 species